rnacentral:rRNA from 1 species
AUAGAACGCUGGCGGCAGGCCUAACACAUGCAAGUCGAGCGGAUGAAGGGAGCUUGCUCCUGGAUUCAGCGGCGGACGGGUGAGUAAUGCCUAGGAAUCUGCCUGGUAGUGGGGGAUAACGUCCGGAAACGGGCGCUAAUACCGCAUACGUCCUGAGGGAGAAAGUGGGGGAUCUUCGGACCUCACGCUAUCAGAUGAGCCUAGGUCGGAUUAGCUAGUUGGUGGGGUAAAGGCCUACCAAGGCGACGAUCCGUAACUGGUCUGAGAGGAUGAUCAGUCACACUGGAACUGAGACACGGUCCAGACUCCUACGGGAGGCAGCAGUGGGGAACAUUGGACAAUGGGCGAAAGCCUGAUCCAGCCAUGCCGCGUGUGUGAAGAAGGUCUUCGGAUUGUAAAGCACUUUAAGUUGGGAGGAAGGGCAGUAAGUUAAUACCUUGCUGUUUUGACGUUACCAACAGAAUAAGCACCGGCUAACUUCGU